rnacentral:lncRNA from 1 species
GUUGGAAGGAACAUCACAGAUCAUCUGGUUUCAACCCCCUGCCAUGGACUGGGAUGCCUUCUGCCAGCCCAGAUUGGCUGUUUGCCAUGUGGGAAGUGCAGGCUUUUGCUGAGACUUGGGUAAUGACAGUCUCAUCUGAGAGAUGCCAAGAGUCACUGACCUUCCAUCAAUCAGCACACAGCAGUUUCUCAUUCUUUAGAGUGGAUAUUAAGAUUUGCAAAUAGAAAUUAAAUCCCUCCAGGGGAUUCUCUCCAAGAAGAGAAUGAAUGCGGUCUGCUGCAGAUGACCCAGGGAAACAAACAGACCAAGGUGUGGAAAUGAGCAAACUUGUGAGUCUUCAUCCAGAAAGGAGUCCAGAGCAAGCUGGAGGUAGAAAACUCCAGGAACUUUUUCAGGAAAACUCAGCCAAAUUGUUGCAAAUGUACCGAACCUAUGUACCAGAUCCAUGUCAGUGGGG